AUUGAACGCUGGCGGCAUGCUUUACACAUGCAAGUCGAACGGUAACAGGGUGCUUGCACCGCUGACGAGUGGCGAACGGGUGAGUAAUGCGUCGGAACGUGCCGAGUAGUGGGGGAUAACGCAUCGAAAGGUGUGCUAAUACCGCAUACGUACUGAGGUAGAAAGUGGGGGACCUUCGGGCCUCACGCUAUUCGAGCGGCCGCCGUCUGAUUAGCUAGUUGGGGAGGUAAAGGCUCACCAAGGCGACGAUCAGUAGCGGGUCUGAGAGGAUGAUACGCCACACUAGAAGUGAGACACGGCCCAGACUCCGACGGGAGGCAGCAGUGGGGAAUUUUGGACAAUGGGCGCAAGCCUGAUCCAGCCAUGCCGCGUGUCUGAAGAAGGCCUUCGGGUUGUAAAGGACUUUUGUCCGGGAGCAAAUGCCUGGUGUUAAUAGCACUGGGAGCUGAGAGUACCGGAAGAAUAAGCACCGGCUAACUACGUGCCAGCCGCCGCGGUAACAC
rnacentral:rRNA from 1 species